rnacentral:rRNA from 1 species
UACGGGGGGGGUAAGCGUUGUUCGGAAUUACUGGGCGUAAAGGGCUCGUAGGCGGCCAACUAAGUCGGACGUGAAAUCCCUCAGCUUAACUGGGGAACUGCGUCCGAUACUGGAUGGCUUGGAUUUGGGAGAGGGAUGCGGAAUUCCAGGUGUAGCGGUGAAAUGCGUAGAUAUCUGGAGGAACACCGGUGGCGAAGGCGGCAUCCUGGACCAACAUUGACGCUCAGGCACGAAAGCGUGGGGAGCAAACAGG